rnacentral:tRNA from 1 species
GUUAAUAUGUCCGACUUAGGUGGUAAACUGUAAAUUUACUUAUGAAUUUUAUUCUGUUAAUA